rnacentral:ribozyme from 11 species
ACACACACACACACACAAACAGAGGGGGAGAUAGAAAGGGACGUAGUCAUAUCCAUACAAUAACUUGUUUUUCCCUUUUUCAUUCAUUUUCUUUUCUGGAGAAAGAGCUGUGGACAAAGGAGGGUCAAUUUAUUAAA